UACGAAGGGGGCUAGCGUUGCUCGGAAUCACUGGGCGUAAAGCGCACGUAGGCGGAUCCUUAAGUCGGGGGUGAAAUCCUGGAGCUCAACUCCAGAACUGCCUUCGAUACUGAGGAUCUCGAGUCCGGGAGAGGUGAGUGGAACUGCGAGUGUAGAGGUGAAAUUCGUAGAUAUUAGGAAGAACACCGGUGGCGAAGGCGGCCCACUGGUCCGGUACUGACGCUGAGGUGCGAAAGCGUGGGGAGCAAACAGG
rnacentral:rRNA from 1 species